rnacentral:rRNA from 1 species
CUUUACCUACGGGGGGCAGCAGUGAGGAAUAUUGGUCAAUGGGCGGAAGCCUGAACCAGCCAAGUCGCGUGAGGGAAUAAGGCCCUACGGGUCGUAAACCUCUUUUGCCGGGGAGCAAGGUCGGGGACGUGUCCCGGCCCGGAGAGUACCCGGAGAAAAAGCAUCGGCUAACUCCGAGCCAGCAGCCUCGGUAAUACGGAGGAUGCGACCGUUAUCCUGAUUUAUUGGGUUUAAAGGGUGCGUAGGCGGGCUUUUAAGUCAGCUG